rnacentral:rRNA from 1 species
UACAGAGGGGGCAAGCGUUGUUCGGAAUUACUGGGCGUAAAGGGCGCGUAGGCGGCCUGUUAAGUCGAACGUGAAAUCCCCGGGCUCAACCCGGGAACUGCGUCCGAUACUGGCAGGCUUGAAUCCGGGAGAGGGAUGUGGAAUUCCAGGUGUAGCGGUGAAAUGCGUAGAUAUCAGGAGGAACACCGGUGGCGAAGGCGGUUCUCUGGGCAUUACCUGACGCUGAGGAGCGAAAGCGUGGGGAGCAAACAGG